AGUCACACGUAGUUUGAUCAUGGCUCAGAUAGAACGUUGGCGGCGUGGAUUAGGCAUGCAAGUCGCGCGUGAGACCCAGCAAUGGGUUGAAAGCGGCGAAAGGGAGAGUAACGCGUGGUCAUCUGCCAGGGGUCCGGGAUAGCCACGGGAAACUGUGGGUAAUACCGGAUAAUGUCUCCGGACCAAAGGUGUGAUUCCACCCCUGGAGGAGCCCGCGUCCUAUUAGCUAGUUGGCAGGGUAACGGCCUACCAAGGCAAUGAUGGGUACUGGGUGUGAGAGCACGACCCAGCUCACUGGGACUGAGACACUGCCCAGACACCUACGGGUGGCUGCAGUCGAGGAUCUUCGGCAAUGGGCGCAAGCCUGACCGAGCGACGCCGCGUGCGGGAUGAAGGCCUUCGGGUUGUAAACCGCCGUCAGAGGGGAUGAAAUGCCGGGAGGUUCUCCUUUCGGUUUGACAGAUCCUCAGAGGAAGGACGGGCUAAGUUCGUG
rnacentral:rRNA from 1 species